rnacentral:rRNA from 1 species
CCUACGGGAGGCUGCAGUGAGGAAUAUUGGUCAAUGGGCGGAAGCCUUAACCAGCCAAGUAGCGUGCAGGAUGACGGCCCUACGGGUUGUAAACUGCUUUUAUACGGGAAUAACGCGCCUUACGUGUAGGGCUUUGCAUGUACCGUAUGAAUAAGCACCGGCUAAUUCCGUGCCAGCAGCCGCGGUAAUACGGACGGUCCGGGCGUUAUCCGGAUUUAUUGGGUUUAACGGGUGCGUAGGCCGCAUUUCAAGCGUGCUGUUAAAUGUCCGGGGUCAAACCGGGACUUGCAGCGCGAACUGGAGUGCUUGAGUGCGCGGAAAGCAGGCGGAAUUCGUGGUGUAGCGGUGAAAUGCUUAGAUAUGACGAAGAACCCCGAUUGCGAAGGCAGCUUGCUGGAGCGGAACUGACGCUGAUGCUCGAAAGCGCGGGUAUCGAACAGGAUUAGAUACCCGAGUAGUC